rnacentral:rRNA from 1 species
AAUAAACGUUGGCGGUGCGCCUUAUGCAUGCAAGUCGAACGGGGUUAUGGUUUUCGGAUCGUAACCUAGUGGCAGACGGCUGAGUAACACGUAAGUAACCCGCCUUGGAGUGGGAAAUAACCCGCCGAAAGACGAGCUAAUGUCCCAUGUGGUAAUGAAGCGUAAGCUUCAUUAUUAAAGCUGCAAAGCGCUCCAAGAGGGGCUUGCGUCUGAUUAGCUAGUUGGUAGGGUAACGGCCUACCAAGGCGACGAUCAGUAGCCGGCCUGAGAGGGUGAACGGCCACACUGGGACUGAGACACGGCCCAGACUCCUACGGGUGGCAG